CAGUAGCCGCGGGAACACUGAGGGUGCGAGCGUUAAUCGGAUUUACUGGGCGUAAAGCGUGCGUAGGCGGCUUUUUAAGUCGGAUGUGAAAUCCCUGAGCUUAACUUAGGAAUUGCAUUCGAUACUGGGAAGCUAGAGUAUGGGAGAGGAUGGUAGAAUUCCAGGUGUAGCGGUGAAAUGCGUAGAGAUCUGGAGGAAUACCGAUGGCGAAGGCAGCCAUAUGGCCUAAUACUGACGCUGAGGUACGAAAGGAUGGGGAGCAAACAGGAUUAGAUACCCCUGUAGUCCCUGUCUCUUAUAU
rnacentral:rRNA from 1 species